CAGAGGCGCGGCUUGCAUGAGUACAUGUGCGGAGAGUACCUUCUUCUGUGAAACACAUCAAAAGGGUUUGCCGCCGAAGGAAAAUGUAAAGGAAAGCAUUUUGCCUGGUUUGCGCGUUUAAGAGACGCCGGACUGUCAUCAUAGGUUUAUGAUGGAGAGCUGA
rnacentral:ncRNA from 1 species